UCCGGUUCGCCGAGCAGGAAUUAAUAGGGAAUGCCGUGCGAAUCGGCAACAGUAACCGCUGCUGUAUGUCUCUGCCCUGCGCCAGAAGAAGCGCUUCUGCCAGGGUCAAAAAGUUUUAAAAUUUAUGUCACUGGCGCCGCUGUCGCCGGGAAGGCUUUAAAACAGAGACGAGUCAGAAGACCUGCCUGAGCGAA
rnacentral:ncRNA from 1 species